UUCGAGUGGCGGACGGGUGAGUAACGCGUGGGUAACCUGCCGUAUACAGGGGGAUAACACUUAGAAAUAGGUGCUAAUACCGCAUAAGCGCACGGUUCCGCAUGGGACAGUGUGAAAAACCGAGGUGGUAUACGAUGGACCCGCGUCUGAUUAGCCAGUUGGCAGGGUAACGGCCUACCAAAGCGACGAUCAGUAGCCGGCCUGAGAGGGCGGACGGCCACAUUGGGACUGAGACACGGCCCAAACUCCUACGGGAGGCAGCAG
rnacentral:rRNA from 1 species